rnacentral:rRNA from 1 species
GACAGAGGGGGCAAGCGUUGCUCGGAAUCACUGGGCGUAAAGGGCGCGUAGGCGGGAUGGCAAGUCAGUCGUGAAAUCUCUCGGCUCAACCGAGAAACGUCGGCUGAUACUGCCGUUCUUGAGGGAUGCAGAGGAGACUGGAAUUCCCGGUGUAGCGGUGAAAUGUGUAGAGAUCGGGAGGAACACCGGUGGCGAAGGCGGGUCACUGGACCAUUACUGACGCUGAUGCACGAAAGCUAGGGGAGCAAACAGG